rnacentral:lncRNA from 1 species
GGUUGUAAGCGCUUUCUUAGUAUGUGCACAUUCUGAGCUGAGUACAUAUAGUGGAUCUAGUAGGGACACUUUUUUCAAUUGGGAUCUAGUAGGCUUUUAACAUCACUAGCAUUACAUGUUCUAUCUGCACUUGUACAACACCUCCACAGGAUGGGUUGGUUUUUUGAGAUGGAGGAUGGAUUGGCUAGCUAGAGCAACUCUAGCACACCCCGCAUCCCGCCGGUCCGCAAAACGCGUUUGCAGUUCGCGCGAAAUCCCUUUUAUGGGCCGACGCGGGCUGGCAUGGAUGCAGACCCCCUAAACGGAUCCGUAAAAAAAAAUAUUCGCGGAAUAUGCUUUUUUACGGGUCGGCUUCUGCGGGUUCUCCUCGGGCUCCACCGCGACGACCCGCAAACAGAAAAACUGUAAAUCUCGCAUUUGACAUAGGGUUUGGCAAACAAGUUCAAAUUCAAACGACAUAAACAGUUUGCGUGCAAAUAAAAGCGAAGUUCAUUACGCAAAAGAGGUCCUCGACGGUGACGGGGGACAGCAUGGGGUCCUCCAUGGCGGCGAGGAACGGCCGGGGAGGAGGAACCGGAGCUUGCGGAGGGGGGGCAAUGGUGGCGGAGGGUGCGGGGAGCGGGAAAGGGCGCCUGGAAAUGUCCCUCCCGCCAAAUCUCGCGUCGGAUAGGGGUUCAGCUCGGGUCGGCCCCCCAGCCCGUGAAGAUAGAGGUUGAGGGAGAAGAUUUACCGCGCCCCGCAAAAAAAAUUGCGGGCCGAGGCGGGAUGCGGGGUCUGAUCGUGCGGAUUUUCCGGCCCCGACCCGCAAUUUGGCGGUUAUUUUGCGGACCGGGACGGGAUGCGGGGUCUGCUAGAGUUGCUCUUAGCCCGCUAUAUUCACUUCCAUAUUCUUCUUGUAUUCACCCUCUAUUUCUUUUGUAAUGAUUAUAGGCUCACUAGGAUUGUCUAUCACUAGUUGUUGUUGAAAUACUCGGUUUUCCAAAUCAGGUCGUGGAUCAUUAUUUCUCACACGCGACU